rnacentral:rRNA from 1 species
AUUGAACGCUGGCGGCAGGCUUAACACAUGCAAGUCGAACGAGUGGCGGACGGGUGAGUAAUGCUUGGGAAUCUAGCUUAUGGAGGGGGAUAACUACGGGAAACUGUAGCUAAUACCGCGUACCAUAGGAUGAGCCCAAGUGGGAUUAGGUAGUUGGGGAGGUAAAGGCUCACCAAGCCGACGAUCCCGAGCUGGUCUGAGAGGAUGACCAGCCACACUGGGCCUGAUACACGUCCCAGACGCCGACGGGAGGCAGCAGUGGGGAAUAUUGCGCAACGGCGGCAACGUGACGCAUCCAUGCCGCGUGCGCGAAGAAGGCCUUCGGGGUGUAAAGGUCGUUCAGUAGCUAGGCGUUAACUACAGAAGAAGCACCGGCUAACUCCGUGCCAGCAGCCGCGGGAAUAC